GGCUGUAAAUUAUCAGACUGACAGAGAGGGAAGAUAUUUAUAUUGUUCUUAUCAAUUAAACAUCUUUGAUUUUAGAGUCAAAGCCUUUAGUGAAGUCUUUCAGAACAGUUAAACACUGUUCAUGUCUCCUGACUUACUCUCAUUAAGCAUUUAAACACUCCACAGGGAGAAAUUGUGUUCCCAACAUCAGUGAUUCACAGUUCCCGAUGUUAACGCUCAUACUCUUUAAAAAGAUCCGUCACAGUAAAUAUCUGCUCUAAAAGGAAGGGUGGGCUGGGAUUACCCAAGUUCUAUGUUGAAUAAGGCGCUGGCUCUUCCUCUUCAGCAGGCAUCAGGUUCAGCUGGCAGUGGGUAUGUGAAAACAGACGACUGGCUCCCACCUCCAGAGUUUCUAAAUCGAUUGCUAUAACUUAGUAUUAGACAGAAAUCCUACGCCUUCCUGACACAUUGCUUAAUUGAGGAUAGAAGAAAACAACAGCAUUCACUUGUUGAGUUCACAUAAAAGAUUCAAGUCACCAGGUCCAGCCCACACUCCAGAGAAGGAGAUUGCACAAGGACAGAUGGAGAUCUUCAGAGAGCAUCUGACAAGCCACCCUACUAUGCUGCAAUUAAGUGCAAGAAUCAGGAUUUGAAUCCAAGUAUUUGGACAGCAGAGCCCAUUCUCCUAGGUGUGCCAAUGGUUCAAAGCCGCCUCUGCCCUCUCGGUGCUGGAGCACAUUGCAGUCAGCUGACUAUAGGACUCUUUAUUUCUAACCUUCUACUUCUGCAAACCCACAUCUAAUAAACAGAAUCUUCUGUAGAAGAUUUAGAAUAUUGAUCAGGUUAUAGUCAAAUUUCCACUUGAUCAUCACUUUAAGCUGAUUUUACUUGUAUCUGUCACAAGGCAUGAUGCAUACAUUUUUAUCUUUUAACUCCUAAAUGAAGAUCUUUUUCCUGGAUUAUUUAGUCUCCUCAAAUCAAUUAUUUGGAACACAAAUCAUUUCUAAAGUAAAACAUAUUUCCUAUGUUAAACACUAAUUUUUAAUACCAAGAAAAUAAUUCUAGAUUAAAUAUAGUGAUCAAUCUAAAUUAAUCUUUUACUAAUACAAGGCAGUUUUAUAUUUCCAUAUAUAUUAUAAAGUUAAACAUAAUCCUUAAUUACUAUUACUUUCCAAACUGUAAUGGCACAUGAGUAUCUGCACAGAUAUGCAAGUUGAACUGUAUGUAUCAUUAAAGACAAGAGGAAAUUAUUAAGUCUUAUAACAGUAAUCUUUUAAGUUCUCCUUUCCUCUUAUUUAUUUUUCUUAAUGCACAAUGUGAAUAUUCAUUAAAUAAUCAGAGCCCAUAUCCAAAGGUAUCAGAAUUUUGCCAGUGGAUAUGCAUUAAAUAUUUCCCACUGAAUUAUAUUAUAAUAUUUUAAACAGUUUUUCUAUUUUCAAAUCAUUUUCAGUUCAUGGAGAUUUCAAAUAUCUCAGGUUUAGGCUCUUCCGCCCCCCAGGCUCAGACUCUCAUUGAAGUGAAUCCUGAUUUAUACAUAAACAGCUAGACUAGUGGAGCGUCUAUUUAUAAAACUUUACAGUGGUUCAACUAUAAGACAAAGCAUUCCCACUUAACCUAUUUGUCUAUAAAUGCAAAUUUCUGUCUUUCAAGUCUGAAAGCAGAAUAAACCUAUUGUUAAGAACAGACUCUGAAACACGAAAAUGCUAUAUUUCUCCAGUAAAUUUUAACAGGUCAAUCCAAAUUGUUAUUGCUUGCUUUUAAAAGGAAAUCAUCAAAGAGCUCCACAUUUCUGAAUAAUCUCUUUAGAUUUGUGGUAUUUCAUGUCAACAUUCAGACUAUUUGUACAGCUCCCCUUUAAUUUUAUUCUAUCCCUUGAGCUUUCCCAAGUCUCCUAAUUUUCU
rnacentral:lncRNA from 1 species